rnacentral:sRNA from 1 species
GGUUUCCGUAGGUGAACCUGCGGAAGGAUCAUUACAGUAGUCGCCCGGGUUGCCGCAAGGCCUCCCGGGUAACCUACCACCCUUUGUUUAUCUCACUUUGUUGCUUUGGCAGGCCUGCCCUCGGGCUGCUGGCUCCGGCCGGCGAGCGCCUGCCAGAGGACCUAAACUCUGUUUGUCUAUACUGUCUGAGUACUAUAUAAUAGUUAAAACUUUCAACAACGGAUCUCUUGGUUCUGGCAUCGAUGAAGAACGCAGCGAAAUGCGAUAAGUAAUGUGAAUUGCAGAAUUCAGUGAAUCAUCGAAUCUUUGAACGCACAUUGCGCCCCCUGGUAUUCCGGGGGGCAUGCCUGUCCGAGCGUCAUUACAACCCUCAAGCUCAGCUUGGUGUUGGGCCCCGCCGCCCCGGCGGGCCCUAAAGUCAGUGGCGGUGCCGUCCGGCUCCGAGCGUAGUAAUUCUUCUCGCUCUGGAGGCCCGGUCGCGUGCCCGCCAGCAACCCCCAAUUUUUUUCAGGUUGACCUCGGAUCAGGUAGGGAUACCCGCUGAACUUAAGCAUAUCAAUAAGCGGAGGAAAAGAAACCAACAGGGAUUACCUCAGUAACGGCGAGUGAAGCGGUAACAGCUCAAAUUUGAAAUCUGGCCUCACGGUCCGAGUUGUAAUUUGUAGAGGAUGCUUCGAGCAUGGUCUGGCCUAAGUUCCUUGGAACAGGACGUCAUAGAGGGUGAGAAUCCCGUAUGCGGCCAGGUGCCUACGCUCAUGUGAAGCUCCUUCGACGAGUCGAGUUGUUUGGGAAUGCAGCUCAAAAUGGGUGGUAAAUUUCAUCUAA